GCUUGCUCCGGCAGCACACACACUAAACUGGAACGAUACAGAGAAGAUUAGCAUGGCCCUUGUGCAAGGAUGACAUGCAGAUCUGUGAAGCCUUCCAUAUUUUU